ACUCCUACGGGAGGCAGCAGUGGGGAAUAUUGCACAAUGGGCGCAAGCCUGAUGCAGCCAUGCCGCGUGUAUGAAGAAGGCCUUCGGGUUGUAAAGUACUUUCAGCAGUGAGGAAGGUGGGUAUGUUAAUAGCAUACUCAUUUGACGUUAGCUGCAGAAGAAGCACCGGCUAACUCCGUGCCAGCAGCCGCGGUAAUACGGAGGGUGCGAGCGUUAAUCGGAAUUACUGGGCGUAAAGCGCAUGCAGGUGGUUUGUUAAGUCAGAUGUGAAAGCCCGGGGCUCAACCUCGGAAUUGCAUUUGAAACUGGCAAACUAGAGUACUGUAGAGGGGGGUAGAAUUUCAGGUGUAGCGGUGAAAUGCGUAGAGAUCUGAAGGAAUACCGGUGGCGAAAGGCGGCCCCCUGGACAGAUACUGACACUCAGAUGCGAAAGCGUGGGGAGCAAACAGGAUUAGAUACCCUGGUAGGCUACUGC
rnacentral:rRNA from 1 species